UCUUGACUAGUAUAUCGGUUCAGUACACCCGCUUGUCAUGUGAUUCAAGCUCCAUACGUGCGCGGGAGAGCAGGGUUCGACUCCCUGGUCGAGAG